rnacentral:rRNA from 1 species
UACGUAGGGUGCAAGCGUUGUCCGGAUUUAUUGGGCGUAAAGAGCUCGUAGGCGGUCUGUCGCGUCGGAUGUGAAAACCCAGGGCUCAACCCUGGGCCUGCAUUCGAUACGGGCAGACUAGAGUACGGCAGGGGAGACUGGAAUUCCUGGUGUAGCGGUGAAAUGCGCAGAUAUCAGGAGGAACACCGGUGGCGAAGGCGGGUCUCUGGGCCGUAACUGACGCUGGGGAGCGAAAGCGUGGGGAGCGAACAGG